AACUAACAAUGCUAGACUUAGAAGGACUUUUGUUUCCAAUGGACAGAAAAGACACACAAAACAUACUAUAAAGAAACAAAAGGAAGGUACUUCAGAGUACCUUUUCUUUAUGGCUCUGGAUUUUGGUUUGUGGUUUGGUUUUGGUUCAAACCAUUACCUGGCCAAACAGAGCAAAUAAGAAGCAGCAGCAAGCAUACCAAAUACUCGAACCCUGGGUCUAUGCCCAGGUAAUAGCUGGCAGGAAAACCAGCG
rnacentral:lncRNA from 1 species